ACUAGGUACCGAAUGGCUAGGCAGCAGUUCUGCAGAAAAGGACCUAGGGGUUACAGUGGAUGCGAAGCUGGAUAUGAGUCAACAGUGUGCCCUUGUUGCCAAGAAGGCUGAGGGCAUUUUGGGCUGCGUUGGUAGGAGCAUUGCCAGCAGAUCGAAGGACGUGAUCAUUCCC